UUUUUUAUCUAAAUAUAGGAAUUAAUUUACCCAUGUUUGAGUAAAAGAGGCAAAAUGCAAUCUAAUUCUUCAUAAAAAGGUUUCCAUAGUACUUUUUGCAACUUAUAACAUGCUAGCUAGAUUGCCUCUUGAUUUUUCUUGAAGUACAUGGAUAUGGAUACGGAGAUAUGGCCUUUAAGCGGAAAAUUUAGAAAAAUAUAACCAAUUUAAGAAGGACUAUAUAGAGCAAGAAUUAAGGAAUUAGAACGACACUAACCUCAGCUUUCAGUUGCAAGAGCUCAUGAAAGUGAUCAGCAAAGAGAGCAAUUGCUGCUUUAUGAAUAGAGAAAGAGUUGCCAUUGUUGCAGAGGAAUUCAAAGACUGGAAAACUCUCCUUAAAAGCUGUAGAAGAAACCAGUUGUUU
rnacentral:lncRNA from 1 species